CGGGGUGAGUAAUGUCUGGGAAACUGCCUGAUGGAGGGGGAUAACUGCUGGAAACGGUAGCUAGUACCGCAUAACGUCGCAAGACCAAAGAGGGGGACCGUUCGGGCCUCUUGCCAUCGGAUGUGCCCAGAUGGGAUUAGCUAGUAGGUGGGGUAACGGCUCACCUAGGCGACGAUCCCUAGCUGGUCUGAGAGGAUGGCCAGCCACACUGGAACUGAGACACGGUCCAG
rnacentral:rRNA from 1 species